rnacentral:rRNA from 1 species
GUGUCAGCCGCCGCGGUAAUACGUAGGGGCCAAGCGUUGUCCGGAGUUACUGGGCGUAAAGGGUGCGCAGGCGGUGGGUUACGUCGUGUGUGAAAGCCCCCGGCUUAACCGGGGAGGGUCGCGCGAAACGGGCUCACUGGAGGCAAGGCGAGGUCGGUGGAAUUCCCGGUGUAGUGGUGAAAUGCGUAGAGAUCGGGAGGAACACCAGAGGCGAAGGCGGCCGACUGGACUUGACCUGACGCUGAGGCACGAAGGCGUGGGGAGCGAACGGGAUUAGAUACCCUGGUAGUCCACGCCCUAAACGAUGCUUACUCGACGUGCGGUUUUCGGAUUGUGCGUCCAAGCGAAAGCGCUAAGUAAGCCACCUGGGGAGUACGCCGGCAACGGUGAAACUUAAAUGAAUUGGCGGGG